UGGACGUGAAAUUCUAGAGAAUAAUUUCCAUACGUCACACCACGAAAUACUCUUUUCUCUGCCAUGAAGUUAUGAAAAAAAGUUCAAAGAGAAAUUACUUGAGCCGUGUUGAUAUUGUUAAAUCCUUAUUCCGUAAAGAGCGUGUCCUGUAAGAAUAAACAGUUCGUCAUUGAAGUUCUUAAUUUGCGUGGAAUUUGUAUUGGUAAUUAGUAGAGAAAUCGUAGAGAAAUUGAAAAUGAUGAUUUGUUGACUGCAGUGUGGAGUAGCAGU